rnacentral:rRNA from 1 species
AUGAGGGGAUCUCGAACCGAUCCUGUGGACAUCAACUCUGAUGGAAGCACUGACAGUAGCUCUGAUGAACACUCGAAUAGCAGCUCAGAUGGGUGUGCUGAUAGCUCCUCUGAUGAAGGAAUGCGUAUGAGCUCCGAUGAAGUGAUGUACAUCAGCUCUGAUGAAGGAAGGCACAUAAGCUCUGAUGAAGGCGGGGACACCAGCUCAGAUGAAAGCGUAUACACCAGCUCUGAUGAAGGUGUAUACACGAGCUCUGACGAAGAUUCAUACAGGAGCUUUGAUGGAGGUGCACAUACCACCUCUUCUAAAGGAGUGCAUAAGCGGAUGAAGGUAAAGAAGCCUUGGAAGGUAUGCAUGUCCGUGUGUGACUGUCCUAAACAUUACACAGUUGGCUAUAAUCCAGACUCUAAUGGUAGAUGGAUGUAUUCAAAGAAUUUGAAGAUGUCAAUGUGUGCUCGGAAGCGUCUCAGCCACUAUAUUAAGUCAGUUAAGCCUGCUAUUGGCCACUACGUGUGUGAGAUGAACAAAACCUUUACCAAGGCUGGGCAGAGAAUGUACUUCUCUACUUCCUUCACUAAAGAGUAUCUGGUGGAUUUCAUUACCACUCCAGUUGAUGGGGUGAAGAUCAAGCUAUCAGUUGGUCGGUGUGCAAGACGUGUUCGCCUUAUUAAUGGCGUGGACAACAGGGCCGCCAUAACACAUAACUGGAGUGACUUUGCAAAGGAAGCAAAGCUGACAAAAGGGGAAAUGUGUGUUUUCUCUGUUUGA